UCACGGGAUAGUAUUGUGAGUAUUUGUGUUGUGAGAAGGAUCUGUGACUCUAACCUAGCGAGCUUUGUUGUGGUUGUUGACUGACCAAUAGUUUGUAAAGUCACCAUGUCGCUAGAACAAACUGCGUGUGAAGAUCUAAAAGCAUUUGAGCGGCGAUUAACGGAGGUGAUAAAUAGGUUACAGCCUUCCACUGUGAGAUGGAGAAUGACAACACUCAACAGAACAUGCAUUUCAGUGGUCUUGAUAAUUGCUGCACUGAGCACAGCUUUUGGGGCAUACAUCUGGCUCACU